GCUACCAUGCAGUCGAGCGGAUGACGGGAGCUUGCUCCUUGAUUCAGCGGCGGACGGGUGAGUAAUGCCUAGGAAUCUGCCUGGUAGUGGGGGACAACGUUUCGAAAGGAACGCUAAUACCGCAUACGUCCUACGGGAGAAAGCAGGGGACCUUCGGGCCUUGCGCUAUCAGAUGAGCCUAGGUCGGAUUAGCUAGUUGGUGGGGUAAUGGCUCACCAAGGCGACGAUCCGUAACUGGUCUGAGAGGAUGAUCAGUCACACUGGAACUGAGACACGGUCCAGACUCCUACGGGAGGCAGCAGUGGGGAAUAUUGGACAAUGGGCGAAAGCCUGAUCCAGCCAUGCCGCGUGUGUGAAGAAGGUCUUCGGAUUGUAAAGCACUUUAAGUUGGGAGGAAGGGAAUUAACCUAUUACGUUAGUGUUUUGACG
rnacentral:rRNA from 1 species